rnacentral:snRNA from 1 species
GGAUGUGAGGGCAAUCUGGCUACGACAUCUGGCACCCCAUUGAUCACCAAGGUUGAUUCAGCUUAUCUGGCUGGCUAGGCAGGUAUCCCCUUCCUCCUUCAAUGCUCCACGUGCAUCCCUCCUGAAGCUGCAUGCUCCGUCAAAGAGGACGACCUUCCCUGAUAGAGGACCGGUCUUCGGUCAAGGGUAUACUAGUGGCUGUGCUUCUGUGCUUUCCUGCUAGAACCUCCAGACAAGCUCUCAAAACAACACAAAUCCUCAGCCAGUGUGAUUCAGUGAGGAGUCACAGGGCCUU